rnacentral:sRNA from 1 species
CGAGCUCUGCUUCUGCUGCCCUCGCGCUCUGCCCUGGGGGGAGGGGAGGCUCCGGAAAGGAGGUGCGUGGUCAGGGGCUGCCUCCCCAAUUCUCCUGUGUGCCCUGGGGGUCGCUGUUGAGUGCCUUGCUCUGCGGCGCUCAGGUGGACACUGGGCAGGUGCGCCAGCCAGCGAUAGGCACCUUGGCUGCUCUGUGGCUCCUUGAGGUGGGGGUCCUCAUGGCGGGGCGAGCGGCCCUGCAGGAGAUCCUCUGUGAGGCGUCCUCACUUCCCACAGUGGCUUUCCAAGUGCGACACUCGCGUGUGUAGGCACAGUGCAGAUGUGCGCACACACACACCUCCGGCUUGGGGCUCCAGGCCCGCACUGUGCUCACGGAUCUGCUCUCCCCAGGUUCUGCGGGAUGGUGCAGUUCCCCGGCGACGUGAGGAGGCAGGCCCUCCUGCAGCUGUGUCUGCUCCUCUGCCACCGUUUCCCGCUGAUCCGGAAGACCACGGCCAGCCAGGUGUACGAGACAUUGCUCACCUACAGUGACGUCGUGGGCGCGGACGUGCUGGAUGAGGUGGUGACUGUGCUCAGUGACACCGCGUGGGACGCGGAGCUUGCAGUGGUGAGAGAGCAGCGCAACCGUCUGUGUGACCUUCUGGGCGUGCCCAGGCCCCAGCUGGUGCCCCAGCCUGGUGCCUGCUGAAGCCAGUCCUGGAGCCCAUACCUCACCCCUGCCUGGUGACGAUGUCUUGUUCCUGAGGGAGGCCGGUGUGGAAAGCCUCGCACAGUGGUGCCUCCAGCUGUUGAAGGGCAGCGCUGGCCCUUGGAGGCUGGCACUAGCUGACAGCUUUUCCUCUCUGCACCUGCGCUCUGGUGACUUGGGGUGGACGCCUCUGCCUUCACUUGAACACAAAUGUGCUUCCUAUAAAAUCAUGUACCAAGAA